rnacentral:rRNA from 1 species
AGAGUUUGAUCCUGGCUCAGGACGAACGCUGGCGGCGCGCCUAACACAUGCAAGUCGAACGGGGAUAUGCUGGACAAGGCUUCGGCCGAGGAAGGCAUAUUCGAGUGGCGGACGGGUGAGUAACGCGUGAGCAACCUGCCUUUCAGAGGGGGAUAACGAUUGGAAACGAUCGCUAAUACCGCAUAACAUUGCAGAGCCGCAUGGUUUUGCAAUCAAAGGAGCAAUCCGCUGAGAGAUGGGCUCGCGUCCAAUUAGGUAGAUGGCGGGGUAGAGGCCCACCAUGCCGACGAUUGGUAGCCGGACUGAGAGGUUGAACGGCCACAUUGGGACUGAGACACGGCCCAGACUCCUACGGGAGGCAGCAGUGGGGAAUAUUGGGCAAUGGGGGAAACCCUGACCCAGCGACGCCGCGUGAGGGAAGAAGGUUUUCGGAUUGUAAACCUCUGUCCUUGGUGACGAUAAUGACGGUAGCCAAGGAGGAAGCCACGGCUAACUACGUGCCAGCAGCCGCGGUAAUACGUAGGUGGCGAGCGUUGUCCGGAAUUACUGGGUGUAAAGGGAGCGUAGGCGGGAGAGCAAGUCGACUGUGAAAUCUAUGGGCUUAACCCAUAGCUGCGAUCGAAACUGUUCAUCUUGAGUGAAGUAGAGGCAGGCGGAAUUCCUAGUGUAGCGGUGAAAUGCGUAAAUAUCAGGAGGAACACCAGUGGCGAAGGCGGUCUGCUGGACAGCAACUGACGGUGAGGCGCGAAAGCGUGGGGAGCAAACAGGAUUAGAUACCCUGGUAGUCCACGCUGUAAACGAUGAUUACUAGGUGUCGCGGGGGCAUAAGCACCGCGGGGGCCGGCGCCAAACGCAUUUAGUAAUCCACCUGGGAAGUACGUUCGCAAGAAUGAAACUCAAAAGGAAUUGACGGGGACCCGCACAAGCGGUGGAGCAUGUGGUUUAAUUCGAGGCAACGCGAAGAACCUUACCCGGCCUUGACAUCCCGCGGGAUGCAGGGUAAUGCCGGCAGCCCUUCGGGGCCGCGGAGACAGGUGGUGCAUGGUUGUCGUCAGCUCGUGUCGUGAGAUGUUGGGUUAAGUCCCGCAACGAGCGCAACCCUUAUUCUUAGUAGCCAGCAGGUAAAGCUGGGCACUCUGGGAAGACUGCCAGGGAUAACCUGGAGGAAGGUGGGUAUGACGUCAAAUCAUCAUGCCCCUUAUGAUUUGGGCUACACACGUGCUACAAUGGCGUAAACAAAGGGAGGCAAAGGAGUAAUCUGGAGCAAACCCCAAAAAUAACGUCUCAGUUCGGACUGUGGUCUGCAACCCGACCACACGAAGCUGGAAUCGCUAGUAAUCGCGAAUCAGAAUGUCGCGGUGAAUACGUUCCCGGGUCUUGCACACACCGCCCGUCA